CCUACGGGAGGCAGCAGUGAGGAAUAUUGGUCAAUGGUCGGAAGUCUGAACCAGCCAUGCCGCGUGCAGGAUGACGGCACUAUGUGUUGUAAACCGCUUUUGUAUUGGGACAAACACUCGUACGCGUAGCCGGAUGAUAGUAUAAUACGAAUAAGGAUCGGCUAACUCCGUGCCAGCAGCCGCGGUAAUACGGAGGAUCCAAGCGUUAUCCGGAUUUAUUGGGUUUAAAGGGUGCGCAGGCGGUUUGAUAAGUUAGAGGGGAAAUGCCGGGGCUCAACACCGGGACUCCCUUUAAAACUGUUAAACUAGAGAGUGGUAGCGGUAGGCGGAAUGUGUGGUGUAGCGGUGAAAUGCUUAGAGAUCAUACAGAACACCGAUUGCGAAGGCAGCUUACC
rnacentral:rRNA from 1 species